UACGUAGGGGGCUAGCGUUGUCCGGAUUUAUUGGGCGUAAAGAGCGUGUAGGCGGCCAGGUAGGUCUGCUGUGAAACUCGAGGCUCAACCUCGAGACGUCGGCGGAAACCAUCUGGCUAGAGUCCGGAAGAGGAGAGUGGAAUUCCUGGUGUAGCGGUGAAAUGCGCAGAUAUCAGGAAGAACACCCGUGGCGAAGGCGGCUCUCUGGGACGGUACUGACGCUGAGACGCGAAAGCGUGGGGAGCGAACAGG
rnacentral:rRNA from 1 species